UGCAUUCCCCACAUGCCAUUGAUCCCGGAAGGCCGAAUGGCAGAUUCAUCACAGACCAGGACACCACUCUGGCAACAGCAUGAGGUGUAUGAGAAGCCAACGCUUCCUGGAUAGGCCCCAAAGAGCAGUUGAUAUUACACAGUGAGCACCUCAUCACAUUCAUCUUCUGCUUCAUCAGUUCCACCUGCGUAUUCCCACCAAAAUUCCUCUGCAUUUCCGUAGAAUUGACGCACUCCUGGAAUACAUGAUAUCAUGUGCCUGCGUUCACUGCAGCGUGUUUCAGCCUACGGGACUUAUAACUGGUUGAGAAGGUC